CCUACGGGAGGCAGCAGUGAGGAAUAUUGGUCAAUGGGCGAGAGUCUGAACCAGCCAAGUCGCGUGAAGGAUGACGGAUCUAUGGUUUGUAAACUUCUUUUAUAUGGGAAUAAAGUUAGGUACGUGUUCUUUUUUGUAUGUACCAUAUGAAUAAGCAUCGGCUAACUCCGUGCCAGCAGCCGCGGUAAUACGGAGGAUGCGAGCGUUAUCCGGAUUUAUUGGGUUUAAAGGGUGCGUAGGUGGUUAAUUAAGUCAGCGGUGAAAGUUUGUGGCUCAACCAUAAAAUUGCCGUUGAAACUGGUUGACGUGAGGGUAGUUGAGGUAGGCGGAAUGCGUGGUGUAGCGGUGAAAUGCUGAGAUAUCACGAAGAACUCCGAUUGCGAAGGCAGCUUACUAAACUAUAACUGACACUGAAGCACGAAAGCGUGGGGAUCAAACAGGAUUAGAUACCCUAGUAGUC
rnacentral:rRNA from 1 species